GAGACACUGGAUUGGUGCCUGAAACUGGUACACACAGUGGGAGGAACGGAUGAGAGCAAGCAUGGACAACCACAUCCCUUGCCAAGCAAGCAUCAGAGCUAGAAUGGCUGCUGAACUUACUGCAGCUCCCAUUGGUGAAACCUCUGGGCAUGCUUACAAGGUUGUGAAAUCAAGGCCUAUCCCCGUUGCUAGAGUUUACAAUCAAAAGAGCACAGAACAAAUACAAAAAUAAGCCUCAUCACAUAGGACUGGCAAACUCAAGGAAGAUCUUGGACUUAAUUAUUUUGAAAACCUAAAAUGAAGGGUUUGUUUCAGAAAAGAAAGAGAAGGCAAUGAGUUAGAUACAGGCAUUUGGGCUUCAAAGGCCUGGAGCUGUUAAAAACGUAGGUUUCUUUUCCAGAUUACAACUUUUCACACCCACUGGGGUUCAUUCUUUUGCAGAAAUGCAUUCUGCCUUUUAGAAGGAAAAUAUUAUCUUCAGCUCUCUGAAUUACUCAAGGCAAACUCUGAAGCCAGGAGCAUCCAUAAUCAUAUUAUCAUCACAGACAAUAAUACAGCAUUAGAAACAGCAAGUUCCCUGAUACAACUCAAUGAAACCCAUAGUCAGGUUCUCUAUGUCAUAUUAACAUAUCCAAGUCAACUCCUAUGCUAUAUUUCUGUCUUUCUCAAAAUAAGAGUUAUCACUGUUAUAGAAUAAGGGAAUUAUCAAUGUUAUACAAAUCUGCUGCCAGCAUUGAGUUAUUUGGUGCGUGUCAGCCAUCCAUCAUCUGUACACAGAAGCUGCACACAGAAUCUGUGUAGACUCAACUACCUGUUUCAUUAUGAUAUUCAAAUGGAAAAAUGCCCAGAGUUCCUGCAAAAUAAAGUUACUUACACAGAGCUUACUACAUAAUACAAACCCAAUAAAUCUUGACUAUUAUUUAAUUAUUGUUAAUUUUUCAUGAUUCUCCCUCUGACAUUAACAUUUGAAAGAACAUCUUCAUGAAAUCAUAGGUAGAGAUAACCAAACCUUAGGAAGUUUUAUCAGCUUACAGAACAACUAACAUACACCAAAAAUAUAUCAUUCUAUUUAAUAGAGAAAAAAAGCUAAGAUUUCACAACCUCUCUUCCUGAUUCAUUUCAGUGUUUAACAACCCUGUCAGGAAAUUCCUCAAUUAUUCUAACCCAGCUACCUCAUACUGCAGUUUAAGUUUAUUUCCUCAUAUUCUGGCUUCAAUAGAGAUAAAGAACAGAUGGUCACUAUCCUUUGCAUAAUAAUAAUAUUAAUGUUUUAUGGGUACAAAGACUUAGUAAAUCUUUUCUUGAUUAUUUUCUUUACCACAAGAAAGUCUAGUUCAUUAAACAUCAUCAGUAGCACUGUGUUUGAAUAUACUAGACAAGUGUUAAAUAUCAAGAAAACACAUCUAUUAUUUGUAACGUGCACAAAACAUUCUCAAAUUUGAAUAUUUUGAGCAACCAUCUGCAUACACUAUAUUUCAGCAAGGUAGCAAAUGAUGUUUUUGAAUAUUUACUUGAAGAAGAGAAAAUUCUUAAUUAAGCAAUAGUAGAAUAAGUUCUGCAGAAAAAUUAAAAUGAUUUGGAUAGAGUUUGUCAUAUUUUUGAAUUCACGUUCAACUUAAAAGAUAACCGAAUAAUUUUAGAUUAAUUUACCUAGGCCAAUAUAAACUUCAGAACAAAUUAUGAAGAAAUACUUUAUAAAAACAAAACCACAAAGUUCUGAAUAAAAAAAUAACACCUAUCAUCAAUGAGCCUUUGAUAAGACUGAUGAAAUAAGCAAACAUCUGUUAACUUAGCUAAGAAAAGUUGAGAGUAUGUCAACUCUCAAAUAUAAGAUAAAAACAAAAAUUUUUACUAAAAAGUAGAAUGUCUAAAACAUGGACAGUUAGAGGAUUUUUGUGUAUAUUUUAAAAGCGAAAGAAAGAUUUCUGGCAUCAAAAGGGCAAUUCGCUUAUCUACAUCUUCAGGGAUUAAAUUUUAUCAUUUUAGUUGUUUGUCAUCUUAUUGUGUUUCUCUUUUCUGUGUGUUUUUUCCCAGUAUAUUUGUUGUCUCUGUCUCUCUCACACACACUUUCACAUGUCCAGAAACUUUCCAGCUUUUAAAAAACUAUUCACUCAUAAAAUUAAAUUCUAUUCCUAUUAACAAAUCACUUAUAUAUUGAAAAUUAUAAGAAUUCAAUCUAAAAAGCGUGAAUGGCUUUUCGUCUCCCUAGUACUCUGGGAUAGAAUGUUGAUGUUUUACAAGUCUGCUCUAAUUUUCACAGGAGUGGACAAACCUACACACAGAGCUGAACAUUACAUAUUUUCCUGACUUGUUUUCUACAAUUUUUAUACUUACCCAAAUCCAACAUGCUUUUUCCUAGAAAAUGUUCUCAGGUUCUUAAACUGUUCAUUUCAGGAAAACUCAAUCUACUUGUAUGGUUCGGUCUUGUGUAUCAUCUUACACAGUAACAAAAAAGCAAAUUUGAUUCAUUUAAAUUACAGUUAAAUUUAUUUCUAAAAGACAAAUAUAUCUUUGUCCACUUAAAUGGAUGUAUGUCCAUCUCACAUGUGUGAGAGAUUGGUUGUUAAGAACUCACAGCACCAAUAUAUCCAUAUUUGUGCUAACAGAGCAUGCUAACUUCCUUUUCCUAAUCCCUGCAUAUUUUGUUCUACAGUUGUCCUAUAAACAUACAAUGUAAAAGUACAGCUUCCCAUUCAUUAGUGGAAACAUGUAAGCUAUGUGCAU
rnacentral:lncRNA from 10 species